rnacentral:rRNA from 1 species
UGUGUGUGGACGGUAUGGAAGUGAGAAUGCCGGAAUGAGUAGCGAGAAUUGCGUGAGAAUCGUAAUGGCCGAAAAUCUAAGGUUUCCAGGGGUAGGUUCGUCCGCCCUGGGUAAGCCGGGAGCUAAGGCGAGGCCGAAAGGCGUAGUCGAUGCACAUACGGUAGAGAUUCCGUAGCCGCCGAAGAUUUAAAUAUACUGACACAUGUGAGGAGCGCAAGCCGGGCGUUGGUAGACCCGGUCGAAAGGGACUGAAAUAUAGUAGGGAAGUGCGUAAGUCAUGUGGCGAGAAAAGGUAUAUGUAUAUUGAAGGCGCCCGUACCGCAAACCGACACAGGUAGAUGAGGAGAGAAUCCUAAGGCCAACGGGAGAAGGGUUGUUAAGGAACUCGGCAUAUUAACCCCGUAACUUCGGGAUAAGGGGAGCCUCCGAAAGGAGGUCGCAGUGAAAAGGCCCAGGCGACUGUUUAACAAAAACAUAGGUCUCUGCAAAACCGAAAGGUGAGGUAUAGGGGCUGACGCCUGCCCGGUGCCGGAAGGUCAAGGGGAACACUCAGAGCAAUCGAAGGUGUGAACUUAAGCCCCGGUAAACGGCGGCCGUAACUAUAACGGUCCUAAGGUAGCGAAAUUCCUUGUCAGGUAAGGUCUGACCCGCACGAAUGGCGUAACGAUCUGGGCACUGUCUCAACAGCCCGCCCGGCGAAAUUGUAGUACCGGUGAAGAUGCCGGUUACCCGCGACUAGACGGAAAGACCCCAUGGAGCUUUACUGUAGCCUGAUAUUGAGAUUCGGUUCAUUAUGUACAGGAUAGGUGGGAGACUGUGAGACAAUGGCGUCAGCUGUUGUGGAGUCGUUGUUGGGAUACCACUCUUGAUGAAUCGGAUUUCUAACCUGCGCCCGUGAUCCGGGCGGGGGACACUGUCAGGUGGGCAGUUUGACUGGGGCGGUCGCCUCCAAAAGAGUAACGGAGGCGUUCAAAGCUCGGCUCAGCGCGGACGGAAAUCGCGCAAUGAGUAUAAACGUAGAAGCCGGGUUGACUGCGAGACCAACAAGUCGAGCAGGUACGAAAGUAGGAGUUAGUGAUCAGGUGGUAGUGAGUGGAAAUGCCAUCGCUUAACGGAUAAAAGCUACCCUGGGGAUAACAGGCUGAUCUCCCCCAAGAGUUCACAUCGACGGGGAGGUUUGGCACCUCGAUGUCGGCUCAUCACAUCCUGGGGCUUGGAAGGUCCCAAGGGUUCGGCUGUCCGCCGAUUAAAGUGGUACGCGAGCUGGGUUCAGAACGUCGUGAGACAGUUCGGUCCCUAUCUGUCGUGGGCGAAGGAGAUUUAAGAGGAGCUGACCUUAGUACGAGAGGACCGGGUCGGACGCACCACCGGUGCAUCAGCUGUUCUGCCAAGGGCAUAGCUGAGUAGCCGCGUGCGGGAGUGAUAAACGCUGAAAGCAUCUAAGCGUGAAACAUGCCUCAAGAUAAGAUCUCCCAUCCGAGAGGAGUAAGGACACUUGCAGACUACGAGUUUGAUAGGUCGGAGGUGUAAGCACAGUAAUGUGUUCAGCUGACCGAUACUAAAUGUCCGAGGGCUUGAAU